AAUUUAUUAUUUAAGUAACUUAAACUUGUUUAUCAUUGAGUAGUUUUUUAACUUUAGCUUGGUGGAUGUUGCAACCUACGUAUACUUUACAGCCUUCACUCCAUUGGUGUACUGGACAUUUCUGGCUGGAUUUUUUAAUAUGUCCCAGCCAAGUAUCCUGUUCUCCUAUAAGGCCCAGGUAGAUGACGUAGCAGAAGAUGACAGUGUCAGCUUGCCGCAUCAGCUCUCCUAUUCUUCGAUGAAGACUGACACUGAUUAUAUAUAUCAGGACAAGUACGUGUAUGAUAGCACCCACUUCGAUGUAGCCAGUGCCAAUCCUUUGUAUAUUCACUCCCUCCAGUCUCCCGAGAGCUUUGUGGGUUUUGGUAACAAUACUAGUGAAGGAAGUAUUAAUAACUCACGAAACCAUGAACGUGAAGCAAGGAAGUCAAAACGAACAAGUGAAACCUCUUAGAAUUAAAAUAUAAAUACUUUUCAUAGACUUACGUUUACGUGAUAUAUUUUAUAUGUGAUAAAGAUUGCUGAUUAAAAGGCUUAGUUUAUUACUUGUAUAUUUGUAAACGUUUAGAAAGAUAAAGCUAUUUAGUGUCAGUAUUGUCUAAUCAGCAUUCAGGUUUUAACACAGCUUCUUAACUACAGACUUGGAUGUUUUGGUAUAGAGAAGUAAUACUGGUUCGUAUAUGUAUAAGAUGUGUGUACUUUGUUUUCUGAAGUUUAAAAAAAACCACAAAAUCCAUAAAUAUAUCGGUACAUUUUACCUUGUGCGUGAUUGUUUUAUAUUUAUGAAGUACAAUUUUCUUAAUAUGUUAUUUGAAGAAUUACAUACUUUCAAGUGUAUGUCAUAAUUGUCUCAAAAAAAAGAAAAGUUUCAUUUCAUCCAAACUGUUUGAAAUAAUUCUUAUUGUUUUCAUUCAAAAGAAAAUAAAUUUCUAAAUAUGUUUUUGCUCAUGGUAAAAUUAAUUACAUGUUUCACGGAAUGGAUAUCAUCACUGUAAUUGGAUUGUCAGGCCUACAAAUUAAUUAAAACAAAUAGCUUUAUUAUUACUCAGUGAAGCAUAUUAUUACAUCACCAGAAUGAUGCCUUUUGGCUCAUACAGUGUAAAAAUCAUUACUAUAUUUACAUCAGAUAGAUCAAAACAUAAAUAUUUUAUAAACGUUCAAAAUAAGACCUGUUUAUUUUCCCAGUAUGUUAACCAGCUUGUCCUUUACAUCAGUAAUAUGGGUCACCUAAGAAUGAAAUAGAUUUAAAUAUAAAGCAGAUAGAAAUGAAAAAAGGCAUCGAAUUGUCACUCGGUAAACAUACAUUCCUGCAUAAUUAAGCUGGAUUCAUUCAUGGAUCUGUUACUUCAACUGUUCAUUUUUCCCCUUGAAUGAAAAAUUAGUAUGUUUUGUCUUUAUUUAUACAAAUAUUUAUAUUUUUGCCUCAUUUUAAUUAGGUACAAGUUUCUAAUUUUCUAGAUAAAUGUUUUCCUCUCCACACUUUAUUUUGCACAUUUCUCAAUAGUUGUGUUCCUUCACACCAGAGUUUGCUGUUACAAUGGCAGCAUUUUUUUGUUAUCCAGUGCCUUGGCAAAGUAUGUUUUACCAAAGAUAAGUAUUAUAUUUUUGGCUCAUUCUCAAUUUGUUCCCGAAGAAAGAAGGGUAUGUCUUUCAAAUGAGUCAGAGGUAUCGGGUUUUGCAGUUUGUGGUAUAUAUAUUUUUUUUCAUUUUGCAUGUUUAAAGUAUUAUAUUUUCCUAAGAGAUUAGCCAUCUAUAAACAGUGUGGGUAUUUAUAUAUAUAGUAAAAAUUGUGCCAUUUUUGUAUUGCAGCCAAACUAAUGAUCUCGUAAUUGACAAUUUAAUUUAGAUUUUUUUUUGCAUAUGUGUAUUAAGUUAAAUAUUUACAUA